GACGAACGCUGGCGGCGUGCCUAAUACAUGCAAGUUGAGCGAUGAAGAUUGGUGCUUGCACCAAUUUGAAGAGCAGCGAACGGGUGAGUAACGCGUGGGGAAUCUGCCUUUGAGCGGGGGACAACAUUUGGAAACGUAUGCUAAUACCGCAUAACAACUUUAAACAUAAGUUUUAAGUUUGAAAGAUGCAAUUGCAUCACUCAAAGAUGAUCCCGCGUUGUAUUAGCUAGUUGGUGAGGUAAAGGCUCACCAAGGCGAUGAUACAUAGCCGACCUGAGAGGGUGAUCGGCCACAUUGGGACUGAGACACGGCCCAAACUCCUACGGGAGGCAGCAGUAGGGAAUCUUCGGCAAUGGACGAAAGUCUGACCGAGCAACGCCGCGUGAGUGAAGAAGGUUUUCGGAUCGUAAAACUCUGUUGGUAGAGAAGAACGUUGGUGAGAGUGGAAAGCUCAUCAAGUGACAGUAACUACCCAGAAAGGGACGGCUAACUACGUG
rnacentral:rRNA from 1 species